rnacentral:lncRNA from 1 species
UGGACACUCGGAGUUAGAACUUAGUUAUAAACGUCCAGUAGCAUACUCGUAACUGCAUUCUGUAAUCAUUUGCCAUUUCUGUUCAAUUCGAGGUACCUGAGGCUAUCCUGACUGGCUAGGGUUAGGAGAAAGGGGUUCCGGGCGGUAGCAUUGCUUCUUCCAAAGUGACCAGGCAAAAAUAAAUACGUAGUCACCGCGCUAAUGGAUCCUUGAUGCUCACUUACUCUCUGAAAUUCUUUAUUCGUUUUUCUACUUGAGUUCUACUUCACAGACCUUCAACAAGCAAAAAACAAACAACCAAAAAGCAAACACUAGAGAGAAAAAUCAGUUCCUGGACUGAUGUUCCUAAGAGACAAGGAGCUGCUGAUACAGCAGUAAAGCAAAUACCACCAGAAGGCGGCGCUCUUGCUCCAGGUCGGGCCCCGAAGGCUAACGUUGACGUCUAGUGACUUGCUGUUAGAAGCAUACAUUGUGGAGAGAUCACUGUGGAUAGGAACAAAACACCGAGAGAAGAGAGUUGGAUAGUCACAGUUAGGUCAUAACAGCAACUGUACUUUUACAGCAUUGGAAUCCUGGCAUUUCAAAGUGAGCUGUCUUUGGCUUUUUCCCUGGUGGGAAUUCCGCUGUAUGACCUCUCGGUGAAUAGAUGGGACUUGAACUCUGCAGUGAGUAAAGGUGGUCGAGGUGACGCCCUGGACCCAGCACAGGAGAGUGAAGGUGGCAUCAAAGGAUAACCGAGAGCAAGUUCUCACCAUCUCAAGAGGCUGAGCUGGGACUCCAGAGAACUGCAGACUACUCCAGAGGAUGACCAGCUUACAAGCAGUAUUAUCUUGAGAUUCCACCACCCAGUGAAACAAAUAAACUGUUCUUGCUUCUCUUCCUCAGAAACU